UUAGUGCAGUUUAUCUGUUUUUCCUAGAGAGAUCUGGCAACACGCGUCUGUAAGCAGUGAAGUUUACAUUUAGCAAUUUAGCAUUAUCUUCUCAGCUGGCAAGAUGGCAUCAGUAUUAAGACAUUCUACCAAAUUCAGCUCAUCUGGAUUUGUGUCACUGUUGUCUGGAAACAGCUGUCAUGGGAGAAUCUGUGCUCUGCCACACGUUGUAUCUAACAGAUAUUCAUCAUCCUCAAACAUUAAAGUGGACCUGGACAGUAGCAAUGGUGUUGCCAUAAUGCAUUUCCAAAAUCCUCCUGUCAACAGCCUCAGUCUUGACUUUUUGACUGAGUUUGCUAUUAAUUUUGAAAAACUUGAGCUGGACAGAAGCUGCAGAGGUGUGAUCAUAACAUCUGCCCAGCCUAAGGUGUUUUCUGCAGGCCUACAUAUUUUGGAAAUGUAUAAAACGAGCCCAGAGCACUGUGCAGAAUUCUGGAAGGCUGUACAGGAGGCAUGGCUUAAACUUUAUGGAUCAACCAAGGCCACGAUCGCUGCUAUCAAUGGCUCAAGUCCCGCAGGUGGUUGUUUGUUGGCUUUGUGUUGUGACUAUAGGAUCAUGGCUGAUAAUCCCCGCUAUAACAUCGGUCUCAAUGAAACAAAGCUUGGUAUAGUUGCACCUUUUUGGUUUAAGGACUCCAUGGCAAAUGUUGUGGGCCAUAGAGAAACCGAGAAGGGUCUUCAGCUUGGUUUACUGUACCCUGCUCCUGAAGCCCUGAAGAUUGGUUUGGUGGAUGAGCUUGUUCCUGAGGAUAAAGUUCUUAGUGCAGCCACUGAGACCAUGAAAAAAUGGUUGGCAAUCCCAGAUCAUGCCCGUCAGAUAACUAAGUCCAUGAUGAGAAAACCUACAAUAGAUAAACUUCUUGCAAACCGAGAACCUGACAUCACAAACUUUGUCAGUUUCAUCACCAAAGACUCCAUCCAGAAAUCUCUUGGUGCAUACAUGGAGAUGCUGAAGAAGAGGUCUUAAGGAGCAAACGUGCCUGACAUUGCCUUUAUGGGGGGUAUCAGUGUCACUGUUUGUCACAUUACCCUCUCCUAUGUUAUGAGAGGGUAACUUUUUUUUUGCAAUUAAAAUAUUUUGAAACCAAAAUGGGAUGGGAAUUUUUUAGCAUGCAUAUAGUAGACAUAUAGCUCAUCCAUAACGUUGUUUUAUUAACCAUGAAGAUAUGCAUGCAGUAUAUGCAUAAGGGGAAGUGUCUAGAUAAUGUCUAAUAGAUGCUUGAUUUUAUUAUUUUUUUAAUAGUAUUUAUCUAAUUUCUAAUUAGCUUUUGUCUUUACUGAAAAAUUGUACAGUAUGUUUGUUACACAUCACAUAUACUUGCUGUAUUAAUAAUGGUAGAUUAUGCGUAAUUACAAGCAACUAACCCUAACCAAAUUCUAUAGUGUGUCAAUAAUUAAUAUUACUCAGUACAUAUGUGUUUAUACUAUAUGUAAUUAUACUAUAAGAAGAACCCCUUAAAAUGUAACCAAAAAUACAAAUAUUUUAUAUACAUGAUAUAUUUUAUUUAUACUAUUGUGCUGCUAUUGUAGUGUUUUUCUAAAAUUCAAUUUAAUUCAAUGCAUCAUUUCUUUGUUGUUA